GACGAACGCUGGCGGCGUGCCUAAUACAUGCAAGUCGAGCGAAUCUUAAGGUGCUUGCACCUUUUGGUCAGCGGCGGACGGGUGAGUAACACGUGGGCAACCUGCCUGUAAGACUGGGAUAACUUCGGGCAACCGGAGCUAAUACCGGAUAAUCCUUUUCCUCUCAUGAGGAAAAGUUGACAGUCGGUUUACGCUGACACUUCCAGAUGGUCCCGCGGCGCAUUAGCUAGUUGGUGAGGUAACGGCUCACCAAGGCGACGAUGCGUAGCCGACCUGAGAGGGUGAUCGGCCACACUGGGACUGAGACACGGCCCAGACUCCUACGGGAGGCAGCAGUAGGGAAUCUUCCGCAAUGGACGAAAGUCUGACGGAGCAACGCCGCGUGAGCGAUGAAGGCCUUCGGGUCGUAAAGCUCUGUUGUUAGGGAAGAACAAGUAUCGGAGUAACUGCCGGUACCUUGACGGUACCUAACCAGAAAGCCACGGCUAACUACGUGCCAGCCGCCGCGGUAAGAC
rnacentral:rRNA from 1 species